AUUGAACGCUGGCGGCAGGCCUAACACAUGCAAGUCGAACGAGUGGGGACGGGUGAGUAACACGUGGGUAACCUCCCAUCAGAGGGGAUAACACUUGGAAACAGGUGCUAAACCGAUAUUGAUUGAUGGACCCGCGGUGCAUUAGCUAGUUGGGGAGGUAACGGCUCACCAAGGCCACGAUGCAUAGCCGACCGGAGGGGGUGAUGGACCACACUGGUACGGAGACACGGCCCAGACUCCUACGUGAGGCAGCAGUAGGGAAUCUUCGGCAAGGAACGAAAGUCAGACCGGGCAACGCCGCGUAAGUGAAGAAGGUUUUCGGAGCGUAAAACUCGGUUGUUAGAGAAGCGGUAUCUAACCAGAAAGCCACGGCUAACUACGUGCCAGCAGCCGCGGUAAUUC
rnacentral:rRNA from 1 species